UCCUAUAACUCGCUAUAAUUAACAGCCACGCGAGACUGUGUGAAGGUCCCUGGGACGGAGGGCAGGAACGGCACACGUGCUGGGACCUGGCCGUGCGCGCCUCCCGGGCGCGGCCGCCGUUUGUCUCUGAGCAUCGCCGCCCUCCAUACUCCCCGAGGCUCUCCCACCCGGAGGAACCAGUCACACGCUACUGCCAAGAUGCAGGUGCCGUUUAUCUCGUCGUUACAGAGCUCGGCCGAGCUGUGGCGCCCCGCCAAUAAAUAUUAUUCUCUGCUGCCGGGAGCCAAGGCCAAGCUCAGAUUUGGGGGUGGAGGUCAAACGAGCAAGGUUCCCAGACGAUGGGGGCGGAGGGGGGACAAGAGAGGAGCACAGCGUCUCCGCUCCUGGUGUCGCUUUGCUACAGUUGGAGGGAACCUCAUUUGCUGAAGUGGCACAAUGAACGCCCAGAGGCCGAGACUUGAGCCUCUACACAGGACACUGCCCCUUCUGUUCUUCCCCCGCCGAGGCCAAGAGCUCUUUGUGUGUCUGAAUAACUGGCCGGGAACUGGACAAUGCUCCGUGCCAAGACCGGCGAUGGGCCGGCUUUAGCCCCUGCUGGAAUUCCUCGUCGCUUUACAAAUAUUUGGUGAGUGUGGUCGGCACGCUCUGGGCACACAGAGGCCUCGGCUCUCACCGAACUCACAGCUGGUCCUCGGAGGAGGACAGACAGGAACAGGUGAACGGAGCCACAGGUAGUUUGGGACAAUGAUAAAUGGGGGAAUGAAUGAAACAGGGCAGCCUGGUAGGCAGGACGGGGCCUCCUUCAGGGCAGGGGCGGGAAGGCUCCUGAGGAUGGGCCCUGCUGGAGUGACUUGGGUGUCAGGGGCCGCUGUGCUGUGACGAGGGGUCAGCGGGGGGACAGGACCACCUCCCACGGGCGGUGGGCAUAGAGAGGGGUUUGGAUUUUGUUCUGAGCACCAAGGGGAGCUGCAGGAGGAUGGUAAGCUGGGCUGUGACAUGAAAGGGCCUGCUGUCUGCAGAAAGGGCACUCUGGCCACUCUGGGGUGACAGCAGGCUGGGGAGGUGGGCAGGGUGACCAGGACCUGACCCCAGGAGGAACCUGUGCAUGUGCGGCCUCACAUGGCAAAAGGGGCUCUGCAGCUGGGAUUAAGUGAAGGACCUUGAGGUGAGACAACCCUGGGCUGUCCGAGGGUCCCAAUGUCCUCCCGAGGAUCUGUCUCAGGGAGACAGGAGGUCAGAGUCAGAGAAGGAGGUGAGGACAGAAGCAGAGGUCGGAGCGGUGCGGGGCCACAAGCCAAGGCAUGCGGCUCCUCUAGAAGCUGGAAAGGCAGAGGAUCCUCCCCUGGAGCCUCCAGAGGAACCAGCCCUGCGAUCCCCUGAUCAUAGCCCUGUGAGACCCAGACUGAACGCCUGACCUUCAGAACGUCAGGUACUGGGACUUCCCUGGUGGCACAGUGGUUAAGAAUCCGCCUGCCAACGCAGGGGACACGGGUUCGAGCCCUGGUCCGGGAAGAUCCCACAUGCCGCGGAGCAGCUAAGCCCGUGCGCCACAACUACUGAGCCUGCGCUCUAGAGCCCGUGAGCCACAACUACUGAGCCCGCAUGCCACAACUACUGAAGCCCGUGCACCUAGACCCCGUGCUCCACAACAAGAGAAGCCACCACGAUGAGAAGCCCACGCACCACAAUGGAAAGUAGCCCCCGCUCGCCACAACUAAAGAAAGCCCGCGUGCAGCAACAAAGACCCAACACAGCCAAAAAUAAUAAAUAAAAUAAAUAAAAUUUUUUUUAAAAAGUCA